ensembl:lincRNA 4732465J04Rik RIKEN cDNA 4732465J04 gene
GGGGUUCGUAUAGGCAGGGAGCACAGGCGUAAGGCUGAGAUCGGCUUCCCUAGAGCCUUUCAAACUGGAUGGACCUGCACUUGUUGCUUAAAUGUCUUGAGGCCUGUGUUUCCACAUCUGGGAAAUGGGGAAAUUGUGGUGUUUGCUGUGAAGCUUCCUCAUUGGCUGAUGAACUCAUCUGGUGUUCCUAAGACCAACACCUUCAGUCCCAUUUCACAAAGUCCAAAUCACAAAGGAGGAAACUAUUUAUUUGAUGAAUGCUGUAUUGAAGGAUAAGCCCGUAAUCAAAUGCUCCAUACCAUCUGUUUGAGAGUUUUUUGAGACUGGGAUCACUGUCUGGAACCACUGGCCGCCCUCUGAAGGCUGGAGAGGUGGUGACAGCUGAACAAAUGAUGGCGCUACGAGUCCAUGGGUUAGGUUACCUGGGCAUGGGAAUCCCCAUAUAGCCAAUGCCUUCCCGGGUAUUAAGUGUCAGAUAAACACAGCUCCUCAACUGCUACCCUGUGAAUGUGUGUCAUCGCCUGCUGGAAGCCGAUGCCAUGUGCUGUUUACUUGGUGUGGAGGACAGAAACUAUACCUUUCUGGAGUAUUUCAGAUUCCAAGGUCUAAUCCUGGACAGCAGGGCCACUGCAAUAUCUGGAUCUCAUUAAGAGUCUUGAUAGGACAUGACCUCCUAAGACUCACCUUGUGCAGCCAAAUGCUGCAGGAAACAGUGAGGCUUGGGUUGCAGGCGCGCAGAUCGCCUUUCCAUGGUCACCGAAAGGUCUUAGGGUCUGAUCUUUUGUCUCAUGGUCUACUUUGUGUGUGGGGAAAGCCAUCCUUUAAGCUAAAGCCCGUAGAAAGGGGAGAGGGUCCAGAGACAUCAAGCUAUCAGCCCCAUCUUGAAAGGUCUUAUGGGAACAGGAAAUAAAUCUAGGGUUUCAUUUCUGAUUCAGCUUUCUUUACCUAUUAAAACUCAGAGAGAAAGCAGGGUGUCGCUAAGUGACAGAAUACUUGCCUGGCAUGUGCAAAGGCCCUGGAUUCAAGUCCUAGUACCACAAAGUAAUAGCACCAGUGAAAUCAAAGGCAAGUAGACAGAAGUCCCGACUGCUGACCAGAGUUCAUCUUUCUGGUCCUUAACUUGGUUUCCUCACUGCUGGGACGAGGAAGUUGCUUGUUUUGUUGUGUCUUUUUCUUAGGAGGAAGUUACCUUAUUUCCUGGCCCUGACCACUAGCUGGAGUCAACAUUUGGAUGCUGCUCCAUGCAGAUGACCCCUGCCAAGCAGAUCAAGUCUUCAUCAUGUGGUUAACAGUGGCAACCAUGAGUCGGACAUGAUCUCAUGUUCAGGGGAUGUAGGGAGAGACAGGAGCUGGACUCUGAAACUAGAAUACUGAGUUCGAAUCCCAACUUUGUUGUUUCUUGGCUAUAUGACCAUCAACAAGUUCCUUAGCUUCUCUGUCGCUCAAUUUCCUGGUUUUUAAAAGGAGUUAAAUGUAUUGCUUAAAAAGUAGAUGACUUCAGAAGGCAUCAGUGGCAUAAAACAGUUAUGUGUCAUAUUGUGAGGUAUUCUCUCUCUCUGUAUCUGUCUGUCUAUCUCUGUUUGUUUUUUUUUUUUUUUGAGACAGGCUUUUUCUGUCUAGCGUUGGUUGUCCUGGAACUCCUCUAGACUAGGCUGACCUUGAACUCACAGAGAUCUGCCUGCCUCUACCUCCUGAGUGCUGGGAUUGAGGGCAUUUACCAUCACCACACAGCUCUGUUUCUUACUUUACAUGCAUGAUGAACUCAACAGCCAUUAAAAAAAAAGUGUUGUAAUCCAGGAGGUAGUGUCGAACACCUUUAAUCCCAGUACUGGAGGCAGAGGCAAGUAGAUCUCUGAAUUAGAGGACACAGAGAAAUCCUGCCUCAAAAACAAACAAACAAACAAGCAAGCAAACAAACAAACAAACAAAAAAGUAUUGUAGUGUUGUACAUAUGAAAAUGUCACAAUGUAACCCAUUACUGUGUGUCUUAUUUAGGGUUUUACUGCUGUGAACAGACACCAUGACCAAGGCAAGUCUUACGAAAGACAACAUUUAAUUGGGGCUGCCUUACAGGUUCAGAGGUUCAGUUUAUUAUCAUCAAGGCAGGGACAUGACAGAAUCCAGGCAGGCAUGGUGCAGGAGAAGCUAAGGUUUCUACAUCUUGGAAGGCUGCUAGUAGAAGAAUACUCAAUUCCAGGCAGCUAGGAUGAGGGUUUUAAGCCCACGCCCACAGGGACACACCUACUCCAACAAGGCCACACCUCUUAAUAGUGCCACUCCCUGGACCAAGCAUAUAUAAACUAUCACAUUAUGUGUAAUUAAUUUAUGCUAAUGAAAUAUGCCCACCAUAUGGAGCUCUUUGGUUUAAUUUCAAUGUGCAUGUUUGGGGGAGGUCACAAAACUAGCAAGGAGACUAUGAGAAAGGAAGAAGAGAUCUAAAGAAUGGGGAGGGGCAAUAGGGAUGUGAAAUACAUGGAUUGAAAGUGAACGGGGCCUAUGAAGGGGAAGACAUUGGUCCAACAAGAGAGGUGGGGGGCACAGGAAGAGGGUGGGAGAGUGGAACCAAUAAGAGCAGGGCUUAUGUGAAAAUGCUCUGAUGAAGUCAUUGCUGUAUGAGCUAACCUAACAAACGCAGAACAAGAUAAAUGAAAGUGGGAAAGGCCCCAUGUUUAGAUCAAGCCAAGUGAAUGAAAAAAAUUGGCACAACUUAGUUUAGGAUUAAUGUUGCCGCAUAUUAAAUACUGAUGUCCCG